GACGAACGCUGGCGGCGUGCUUAACACAUGCAAGUCGAACGGAAAGGCCCUGCUUUUGUGGGGUGCUCGAGUGGCGAACGGGUGAGUAACACGUGAGUAACCUGCCCUUGACUUUGGGAUAACUUCAGGAAACUGGGGCUAAUACCGGAUAGGAGCUCCUGCUGCAUGGUGGGGGUUGGAAAGUUUCGGCGGUUGGGGAUGGACUCGCGGCUUAUCAGCUUGUUGGUGGGGUAGUGGCUUACCAAGGCUUUGACGGGUAGCCGGCCUGAGAGGGUGACCGGCCACAUUGGGACUGAGAUACGGCCCAGACUCCUACGGGAGGCAGCAGUGGGGAAUAUUACACAGUGGGCGGAAGCCUGAUGCGACGACGCCGCGUGCGGGAUGACGGCCUUCGGGUUGUAAACCGCUUUCGCCUGUGACGAAGCGUGAGUGACGGUAAUGGGUAAAGAAGCACCGGCUAACUACGUG
rnacentral:rRNA from 1 species